AGUGAGGUGCCUGAUAAAAGGGUUACUUUGAUAGAGUAAAUAAUGUAUUAAGAAUACUCUCACUA
rnacentral:tRNA from 2 species